GUGAACCUAGCCAUACAUAAAUUUUGUUAUUUUAAUCUAGCUAUCAAACAAACAACACAUCAAAAGAAUCAGUAAUAGCUAUCAAACUGGACAUUCACUUGAGUUCACAGAUAUUUGAGAUAGCUACAUUUUAAUACCUAAAUACACAAUUGAGAGUACGUCAAUAUCUUGCAUCAGUCAGCAUGCUAUUUGUUUCAUGUCAAUAUCCUUAUAGCAGUUCAUUUCCACAAUCCAAACCCACCUAGAAUUCUUCGGGCCAGGAAAUUGUAGUUUGUCACGCAACAAGGGGUUAGUUUCAAUCAGCUUCUCUUCCCCGUCUGGUGAGAGCCGGCGCCCACCUAGUGCCAUGACCUCUCUGUUGCCAUAACCUCUGAAGUUGCUAGCUACUGAAAACAUAACUGCAGAUCAACUUGAAAGCAGCAAACAAACACAACACCAUAUCACAAGUUUAUGUUGGGGCAGCCUGACAGCAAUUAGUAAGGCGCCAGAUUAAAAAUGAAUCUUUAUACCAUGUCCAUAUUUUAUCAUAAAAAUUACCAUAUCCAUCAAAUUACAGCAGCCCAGGUGGCAGGACAAUCAUAUAAAACAGAUAUUUACAGCACAUAAUACACAAUCAAAUCCAACAAAAUCGGUUCUUUGUUUACAUCAUGUCAAUGUGCAUGUGUGGUGGUUAGUGAAGAGCACGGCAGAAAUUGCAUGUUGAACUCAACUUCGUGUUCAUUAACUCUACAAAGCUCCAGCCUGAUGCGUGAUGGCCCAAACUUUGUAAAACUGAAUAUGCCCCAAACUCUUCACCAGGCGAACAAGCAUCAGCAAGGUCACGACACCAAACGGUAGUGCCAGCUCUCACCAGGCAGAGAAGAUAAGCCACCAGUGGACGACUCGAGCUUCUGAAGAUGGCAAAACAAAAAGACCCAGGAAAUUUAUGCACAAUCCAAAGAAACACACAUGCUGUCAACAAAAAAUUGUUGUUUUAUUCCAAGAUGUACGAGUUCAGACACUUUCCAA